UACGUAGGGUGCAAGCGUUACUCGGAAUUACUGGGCGUAAAGCGUGCGCAGGCGGUUUUUUAAGUUUGUCGUGAAAUCCCCGGGCUCAACCUGGGAAUGGCGAUGAAGACUGCAAGGCUAGAAUCUGGCAGAGGGGGGUAGAAUUCCACGUGUAGCAGUGAAAUGCGUAGAGAUGUGGAGGAACACCGAUGGCGAAGGCAGCCCCCUGGGUCAAGAUUGACGCUCAUGCACGAAAGCGUGGGGAGCAAACAGG
rnacentral:rRNA from 1 species